rnacentral:rRNA from 1 species
UACGGAGGGAGCUAGCGUUGUUCGGAAUUACUGGGCGUAAAGCGCACGUAGGCGGUUAUUUAAGUCAGGGGUGAAAGCCCAGUGCUCAACACUGGAACUGCCCUUGAGACUGGAUAACUUGAAUCCAGGAGAGGUGAGUGGAAUUCCGAGUGUAGAGGUGAAAUUCGUAGAUAUUCGGAAGAACACCAGUGGCGAAGGCGGCUCACUGGACUGGUAUUGACGUUGAGGUGCGAAAGCGUGGGGAGCAAACAGGG